rnacentral:rRNA from 1 species
AGUGAACGCUGGCGGUAGGCCUAACACAUGCAAGUCGAACGGCAGCACCGUAAGAGCUUGCUCUUACGGGUGGCGAGUGGCGGACGGGUGAGGAAUACAUCCGAAUCUACUUUUUCGUGGAGGAUAACGUAGGGAAGCUUACGCUAAUACCGCAUACGAUCUACGGGUGAAAGCAGGGGAUCUUCGGACCUUGCGCGAUUGGAUGAGCCGAUGUCGGAUUAGCUAGUUGGCGGGGUAAUGGCCCACCAAGGCGACGAUCCGCAGCUGGUCUGAGAGGAUGAUCAGCCACACUGGAACUGAGACACGGUCCAGACUCCUACGGGAGGCAGCAGUGGGGAAUAUUGGACAAUGGGCGCAAGCCUGAUCCAGCCAUACCGCGUGGGUGAAGAAGGCCUUCGGGUGGUAAAGCCCUUUUGUUGGGAAAGAAAAGCAGCAGGUUAAUACCCCGCUGUUCUGACGGUACCCAAAGAAUAAGCACCGGCUAACUUCGUG